rnacentral:rRNA from 1 species
UGGGGAAUAUUGGGCAAUGGGCGCAAGCCUGACCCAGCAACGCCGCGUGAGGGAAGAAGGUUUUCGGAUUGUAAACCUCUGUCGCAAGGGACGAAGAAGUGACGGUACCUUGUGAGGAAGCCCCGGCUAACUACGUGCCAGCAGCCGCGGUAAUACGUAGGGGGCGAGCGUUGUCCGGAAUUACUGGGCGUAAAGGGUGCGUAGGCGGCACUAUAAGUUGGAUGUGAAAUACCCGGGCUUAACUUGGGGGGUGCAUUCAAGACUGUAGAGCUAGAGUACAGGAGAGGGAAGCGGAAUUCCUAGUGUAGCGGUGAAAUGCGUAGAUAUUAGGAGGAACACCGGUGGCGAAGGCGGCUUUCUGGACUGACACUGACGCUGAGGCACGAAAGCGUGGGGAGCAAACA